UUGACGAUAAGGAAGUUGAAGUGGAGUUCAUGUACUUGGUAAAAUGGAAGGAAAGUAACACUCCUUUUGAGAAGAGAAUGAAGUACUCAAUCUUCUUCACUACGCCAUCACUUGGAAAUCAAUUGGUUUCCAAUAAUCAACUCCAGUGUGACAGUUCUCCUAACUGGUUUCCUAGCUACUAUUCUUAUGCAAGUCCUUAGAAAUGAUUUUUUUGAGUUAACCAGUUGGGUUACAGUCCAUUGUUGCCAAUCCAAGCCAGAGUCAGCAGGGAAAAAAAGAUACAAGGCAUGCACGUCAACUGUAUGUUGGUGGCCUUCCACCAUUGGCUAAUGAGCAGUUACUGUGGAUGCUUCGUUGCUGGUGUCUACUAUGUGGAGCCAUAUGCGUAUACGGAUUGCUUCAACAAGCCUGUCCAUGAGGACACUGUCCUUGCAACUCGCAAACAAAUUGAAUCUAGAAAUUCUCUUGCUUUUGUUCCCAAAGUGAUUAGGAGCUCGAAUUAUCCAUUUGAAGCCAGGGAUAAGUCCAUCAAAACUUCUACUUCAACUCAACAUAAGAUGGGACACAAUUGAAAAAAUUCUGGUUGCCUGAAGAAAUAUUGUGAAUGCUAUCGAGUUUCUUUUCAUAUUUUCUAAGUAUGCGAGCUUUUCUUUAGCCUGUAAGAUAAAAUAUUAUCUUUAUAUUGAAGAGUUGUGUUGGAUGCUCGAUGAGUGUGGUUUUCUAUUGAAGAGUGGUGUUGGAUGCUCGAUGAGUGUGGUUUUACAAGUCUCGAUAUUAUCAUUUACAAUUGAUUUUCCAUUCUGGGUUGGGCUUUUUUUUUUAGCAGGCACAGGGGCUAAAGUUGUAAAAUAAGAAUCCAAUGUUGGUAUGCUUUGUUAUAUCUUUCAGCUUCCUGGAUUCCAUCAAA